AAUUCCACAUGUGAACUGUUCUUUUUAACUUAACUGAGCGCAGCCGGUUUAGCUAAAAAGAACAGACCGAUAGUGACGGAACAAAUUUUCAUGCAGACCCUUUCGAAUGUACCUUCACGGUUCAUUUAAGUACACACCAUCCUGCGAUUUUGCCAAAAAGAUUAUAAUAAUUAAUUAUUCUGUUGAUUAGACGUGAAACUCAUAAAAAUCUACGAAUCAUGGUCCGUCGUUCACUCAUUGACCUGUUGAGUGGCAGAUUAACUGAUGAUCAUGUGAGCAGAGAGUGGACGAUAUCAGAGAGACGUGGAGAACGUGUUUUUCUAAAAUUUCGCAUGAUUUCUCUCUAACAUUUAAGGAAAAGUGUGGAAAAACAUGGUAACGGUAGUAAUUUCACAAGAGGAAUUUUUCUAACUUGACUGGAAAAAAAUCCGUCCGCACUUAUUACACACGAGUUACACACGAGCACGUGAUAGCGAUACGAGAUUUUAUACGGUUCGCAUUUUAAGGUUAGUCCGGACGAGACAUCAUUCUUCGACCUAAUUUACUCCCCAUUUAUUCAUAUGAGCUGGUGACACGCGUUAUGCUAAUCGGACUAUUGUGACUAUAUGUUUAAAAUGACGCUUCUCUGGAAAUUAUUGUCUGAUCCUGGUGUCCUGCGAAAAGCAGGAUGCCUCGGUCUCGGUGUAUCGCAUAAGUACUUAUUCGACUCGUACCUGACAACACGGCUCGUCAGAGUGUCGAAGAAGAACCGGGCGACAUUGGUCGGUCUGAGACACCAUGCGACCAAGGCCAUCGAAUCCGAUGUCUUGACAACGGUCGCACAUUCGGCCAAAAGGACCAAGAAAACCUCGGAGCUGAGGAAUUUAAUCCUGUUAGCCGCGCCAGAAAAGUGGACUCUAAUGCAGGCCAUCGCAUUUUUACUGGUGUCAUCCGGCGUGACGAUGGCAGUGCCCUUCUGCUUCGGCAAAGUGAUAGACGUCAUCAGCAAUACAAAGAAAGAAGACAUGAAAGAGAACCUUAAUCGGCUAACGUUGGUUCUGCUUGUAGUAUUUCUCAUUGGUGGCCUUAGCAAUUUUAGAAGAGUUUAUUUGAUGUCAGCAGCAGGACACAGGAUCACACAGUCACUGAGGAGACAAGCGUACACCGCUAUCCUCCGGCAAGAGACAGCGAUGUUCGAUAAGGGGAGCACAGGAGAACUGGUCGGCAGAUUGAGCGGUGAUACGCAACUCAUCAGCUCCGCCGUCACGUCCAACGUCUCGGACGGUCUGCGUUCCGCUAUCAUGGCGGUGACAGGAGUGUCGAUGAUGUUCUACGUGUCGCCGACGCUCGCCCUGCUCGGCCUCGCUAUAGUACCGCCGGUCGUGGCUGUCGCGGCCGUCUGGGGCCGCGUGCUGAAGAGAGUCUCCAAGGAGCUGCAGAACAGUGUCGCGGUGCUGAACGCGACCGCCGAGGAGAGGAUCGGCAACAUCAGGACCGUGAAGGCGUUCGCGCAAGAGGAGCGCGAGAUCGACCGGUACUGCGGCAAACUGCGGGACGUUCUCGCGCUCUGCUACAAGGAGAGCCUCUACAGAGGCCUGUUCUUCGGCAUGACCGGCCUCUCCGGGAACGCCAUCGUCCUCUCCGUCCUCUACAACGGAGUGUUCAUGGUGUCUAGCGGCGACAUAACGAUCGGCAGUCUGAGCGCCUUCCUGCUUUACGCCGGCUACGUGGGCAUGUCUCUGAACGGACUGUCCACGGCGUACAGCGAGCUGAACAAGGCGCUGGGCGCGAACGCCCGCCUCUUCGAGUUGAUCAACCGACAGCCGCUCAUCCCUGUCCAGGGCGGACGAGUCUUGCCCAAGGAAUUGUCGGGCAACGUGGCGUUCCGCGACGUCUCCUUCGCUUAUCCGACGCGCGACACGGUGCCUGUGCUCAGGGGCUUCGAUUUGAACGUGAAUGAGUGCUCCGUGACAGCCAUCGUCGGGCUGUCCGGCUCCGGCAAGUCCACUGUAGCAUCGCUCUUGCUCAGGUUCUACGACCCCACGAAGGGGUCGAUCCUCUUGGACAACCACGACCUCCGUCUGCUCGACCCCGCGUGGGUGAAGUCGCAGAUCAGCGUGGUGGCCCAGGAGCCGAUUCUGUUCAGCUGCUCGGUGCGGGAGAACAUAUUGUACGGGAUGGAGGGCGCGUCGGACGCCGACGUGCUGGAGGCCGCACGACUGGCGCAUGUGUUGGAGUUCACGGAGAAGAUGACGGACGGCCUGGACACGAUAGUGGGGGAGAGGGGGAUCGCGCUCAGCGGCGGUCAGCGUCAGCGGGUCGCCAUCGCCAGGGCCUUAAUUAAGAAACCAAAGAUUCUAAUACUUGACGAAGCGACCAGUGCCUUAGACGCGGAGAGCGAGAAUUUCGUUCAGGAGGCGUUAGAGCGCGCCAUUCGUGGCAGGACGGUGAUAACCAUCGCCCACAGACUCAGCACAAUCAAGAACGCCGAUAAGAUCGUGGUGCUCGACGGCGGUCGAGUGGCGGAGACCGGCUCUUACGCCGAGCUGAUGGCCUUGGAGAACGGUCACUUCAAGAAACUUGUGAAGCACCAGACGUUCACGUAGAAAAAAAAAAGAGAUAGAAAACACAAAAUUCGCCGAGCGAACAAGCGCUCUCGAUUCGCGCUCGGACGCUCUUGCUCUCGUUGUGCUUGUAGAAAAAAAUGCGUCGAACGACUAAUAAAAUUAGUUAGUGCUUAUCUUGACGCAUCAUUCGGACGGAAAACUCGGAAGCGGAGUAAGAACGGAGUAACAUCAGUUCCGGGCGCUGUGCGUUCAUCGCCGAUACGAGAUCUGAGGGACGAUAGGUGUCGGAGAGGAGGAUACGUGACGCAUUGUCUUGUGGAAAAGAGGAAACACAGACAGCGAGGUACGAUUCCCGCCUUGUUUUUCAGGAGUAACACGAGAAGACGGGUAUACGCUACGAAUAAGAGAGAAGUCGACAAUCAUUUUUAUAUAUUUUGUUAUAAAAUAAUGUACAGCUAUUUUCAGAUAUCCACAUUUGUGUGUAUGUGUGUGUGUGUAUGUAUAUAUUAUGUAUGUGUGUACGUAGUGUAUAAUGUCGUGUUAUUAGUUUAUAUUACUCUUACCCCACUUCUACGAUAUUCAUCUAAUAAUUUUCAUUAGAUCCGCGUCCAGCUCGAAUCCGCUCGUAAAUAUUUUGUGCACGUACAUAAAACUGCAAGCAGCUCCAAAUCACAAUCGCAACGGGUAUUCGUGCGUGGAUCGAUCUCUAAUAUAGUUUACUUUUCAGUUGGUUUUGCUUUUUCGCACAAUACAUGUGUGGUCUUAUCAAUCAUAUUUGGCUCUCUCAUUCGUACUCGGGUUGUGUUUCACUCGCAUCCGGAUAUCUCUCAUUCGCUUCUUCGUCCUUCGGGUUCGCGUUGUAGAAAAAACUCGCGGGCGCGCAGCUCUCCUUGUUGUUCGACUAUUCGAUCUCGUCAGCGCGAAAAUCACGAUAGCGAAAUGGAAGGAAUCACACGAUGCCGUGUCUCCCCGAUCGCGAGACGGUUCGCGUUUAUUGGCUUCGCUUUCUCUCCUUCUCUCAUCUCCACACGCAACGAACACUCGGUGAAAGAAAAGUACUCGUCCGUAUCAACGAUCGACGGGAAAUCGCGGAUUUGGAAUCUGCACACCGAUCCCAAUGAACCGUGUCGCGAUAGACUACCUUUGAGAAUUAGCUGUAGCGUAAUUUCGGCAGACAGCUCUCCGCGAGAAGCAACGCCGCUCCUCCCGACGUUCCUCGCGAGUGUGUCGCGCGCCUGCCCACCGGGUGAACAUCGCGCGAAGAAUCAAAUAUCCGAUUGAUACUCCCGCGAGAGUGUACCCGACGAGGGCCUUGUUCCGUGACUUUUCAACUGUCGUUAAAAGUCGAAUACACAGAAAAGAAGGGCCCAGCCGGGGAGGAUUGUGUGUAAUCGUAACUUGGUAUUGUAAGGCUGCUGCGGCGACGAUCGCGGCUUCGUUCGUACGUUCACUCGGCGGCGAGACACACACCGGACGUCGAGACCCGAGCUCACGGUAUUUCCCCGGUACGUUGCGUCACGUCUCCGAGAAUCGAUCAAUUGUUUAGAUAAUACUUGUCCGAUACGCAAUAUACACAGUAGUUAAUAUAGGCACAACCUUACUCUAAGCGGAUAACUAUCGGUACUCGUGUAUAAAUCCAUAUUGAAAUGUCUUACACCGCCCGGCUGAAUUCCCGGCUUCUCUAUACAAGCGGUUUUCGAUA